rnacentral:rRNA from 1 species
UACGGAGGGUGCGAGCGUUGUUCGGAGUUACUGGGCGUAAAGGGUGUGUAGGCGGUUCUUUAAGUUUGGUGUGAAAUCUCCCGGCUCAACCGGGAGGGUGCGCCGAAUACUGAGGGACUUGGAGUGCGGGAGAGGAAAGUGGAAUUCCUGGUGUAGCGGUGAAAUGCGUAGAUAUCAGGAGGAACACCGGUGGUGUAGACGGCUUUCUGGACCGUAACUGACGCUGAGACACGAAAGCGUGGGUAGCAAACAGG